CCUACGGGUGGCAGCAGUGAGGAAUAUUGGUCAAUGGCCGAGAGUCUGAACCAGCCAUGCCGCGUGAGGGAAGAAUGUCCUAUGGAUUGUAAACUGCUUUUGUAAGGGAGUAAAUUCAGCUACGUGUGUAUGGUGGAGAGUAUCGUAAGAAAAAGCAUCGGCUAACUCCGUGCCAGCAGCCGCGGUAAUACGGAGGAUUCAAGCGUUAUCCGGAUUUAUUGGGUUUAAAGGGUGCGUAGGCGGGUUAUAACGUCGGGGUGAAAAUCUGGGAGCUCAACUCCAGCCAGCCGUGGAAACUGACGAUCUAGAGUGGACGAGCGGGAUGCGGAAUGCGUGGUGUAGCGGUGAAAUGCAUAGAGAUCAUGCAGAACACCGAUUGCGAAGGCAGCAUACCGGACCACGACUGACGUUGAGGCACGAAAGCGUGGGUAGCGAACAGGAUUAGAUACCCGUGUAGUC
rnacentral:rRNA from 1 species